UAAGACGGAAGGUGCAAGCGUUGCUCGGAAUCACUGGGCGUAAAGGGUGCGUAGGCGGCCUGGUAAGUCUGGCGUGAAAGCCCAGGGCUCAGCCCUGGAAGUGCGCUAGAAACUGCAAGGCUAGAGUGCCGGAGGGGAGAGUGGAAUUCCUGGUGUAGCGGUGAAAUGCGUAGAUAUCAGGAGGAAUACCGGUGGCGAAAGCGACUCUCUGGACGGCAACUGACGCUGAGGCACGAAAGCGUGGGGAGCAAACAGGAUUAGAUACCCUGGUAGUCCACGCCGUAAACGAUGGGCACUAGGUGUCGGGGGUAUCCACUCCCUCGGUGCCGCCGCUAACGCAUUAAGUGUCCCGCCUGGGAAGUACGGUCGCAAGAUUA
rnacentral:rRNA from 1 species